UAUAUUUCAGACUGCAAGGGACGCUUUGCCGUUAAAUGACCGGUUGGCCACGGCCACUGAAGCGUCCGAGGAAUUAGAGCAGAUUAAAAACAUACUAAUAGAAGAAAAGCAACAUGUGAUAGCCAAAUGUCAACAAUAUUACGAAGAAAUAAGGCUUUUAGCAGUAACUGAAAAUAGCCCACUAACAAGGGCCAGAAAUAAAAAAUUAAGAUUGUGUUUGUCCAAAUGUCAAGAUUUAAAAAUUUUUAUAGAAGAUCUGGAAAGUGGUCCUGAGACUGCAGAGGACGCUUUGCCGUCUACGGCAGAAAUGGAAUUAGAGCG